GCCUCACCCCCUGCUUUGAUAUUACUUGGGCUUUCCCUCCUAGAUUUCAAAAGAUAAGCAUAUUGGGCCUGGCCAAUAUGUGGAUGGGAGACCACCGAGCAAAGGCCCAGGUGUUGGAGGCA
rnacentral:rRNA from 1 species